CAGCAGCCCUGAGCGAUGCAGGACGUGGGCCCCUGCGGCUGCCAGCUCAAGGGGAAGGGCAGGAGCCCGUCUGCCGUCUGCUCAUGCGGGGGGCACUCUGGCCUCCUCCACACACCAGCCUGUAGCCACUGGUCUCAGGCAGUCCUUGUACGGCUCCUGGGGCCUCCCAUUCUCGCUAGUCCUGAGCCACUGCUCUGGCCCACAGGACUGGGGAGAAGACAGCAGGAGAACCACACACGUCCUUCUGCAACAAGGUGCAGAAAAAGGUACAAACAUCCCCAUCCUCUGGGAGCUAAGGGUCCAGAAUAGUUUUGCCUUUUCUAGGAUUUCGCAUAAAUGGAACCAUGUGAAACGCACCCGUCGUUUUGCUCAGCAAACCACUCUGAGAUUCCUCCAGACCGUUGUCACGUGUGUCCUGUGCGCUGCCAGGCUGCCCUGCUUUCCAUUCCCCCAGGCAGAGCAAGAGGCCUUCCGCAUCCUCUCCAGCAUCCGACGCCGACUGCAGUCCCAUGGGGAGGUGUGCAGUGGCAUCUCUUUGUGGCUGUAACUUGCUAUUUCCCGG